GAGGUUGUAGCUCAGUGGAUAGAGCACCAGAUUGCGGAUCUGGCGGUCGCACGUUCAAAUCGUGUCAGCCUCA
rnacentral:tRNA from 1 species